CUAAAUAAAUACAUAUAUUUUUAUUUGCAUAUUUGAGUAUUUCUAUCUGAAAAUGAUCAGCAAAGGUGCUACAAACUGUCUAUAUUAGAAUGUUUUUCUAAUGUACUAAGAAAUUUUCUAAUCUGUGUAGUAAAAAUCUUCUAAUGUGUGCCUUUGUAGGUGAUAAGUGUUGAUAUACUUUAAAGCCUCAUCUGUCAUUAAAUAGAAGGUGAAUGAGUAAUGUGGGAAAGCAGGAGCAGAGAAAGCAAACACAGGGAGCUAGUCCAUACAAACAAAGUGCUACUGGGAUUGACUAAUAAGAGGGGGAAACUGUGUUUAAAAAGGAAAAAUGCAAUUACUUCUGUUUGUAAGAACUGCAUUUACCCAGCCAAUAUUGGCUGUAUAGUUUAAUGGUCUGAGUGCUUGAAGCACUUGCUGUUUGCCAGAACAGUUCCCAGAGCAGGGGCUGGUCUAGCUGGGGUAGUCACAGCCCCAGGGGCUAUUCUGGUGACUUCCAUAGCACAUUGAAGCCAGAAUUCAGGAAAUUUUAAUUUCUAGUAGUUAUUUCUUUUCUUAUAUCUACUAGCCAUGUCUGCAAACAGCAAGUCAAGCUCUCAAAUUUAGUGAUUUUGCACUUUGGAAGUGUCUCAGAGUGUGUAAGAAGUCUAAACCUUUAUUUGGGUUUUAUUGUUAUUAAAUAUAAAUAAGUAAUAUUAAUGUUAAACUUUCCCAAGUAUUACCCUGGCAGAGAAUCUCAGACUUCUAAGGAUCAUGAUAUUGCAAUAUUUCAGUGAGAACUUCCCAGUGAAUGUUUCGUUUCAGUGAGGAAAUGUGCUUCUUGCCAAAAUGCUUAUCUUGCAAUGGUCAGACUAUCUUCCAUGAUAAAGGAAGCAGGUGAAGGGCAAGAGGGACAUGGGGAGCAAGAAACAUUUAAUUGUGGUUAAUAUUUGUGGCUAUGCUGUUUCUCAGAGGUUUGUAACCUGGCUGAGUUAUUAGGGUUUGUCCCAAAUUAAAGCCACAAUUAUUUUACUGUCUGCAGGUGUUAAAGAAACUGCUUCAGUGGGGCUGUGAUGGCCUUGUGUAAAGGGCUGACCUUAAACUAAUGAGGGGAACUUUUAUUGCUUUCUUUUCCUUCUGGUCCACAAAAUUCCUAAAGAUUGGGUGUUGCUGCAUCUGUAGGAUCCCUCUGAGGGGGAAUAUUUAUUAUUCUGUAGCAUGCUCAGGUUCCUCCUGUUAUCCUUUGCCAAGCUCCUGCUCAAGACAGCUUGGAGUUCAGGUUGGAAACACACGUGGGAGAGGAGACCCAAGGAAAGGAGGGGGAUUAUUUUCUCUGUUAUGGGAGCUCAGACAUCUUAUUCACCUGUGCAAACACAGCAUGAAAUGUUACUUUUCCUAUGCUCAGGACUUACUUCUAACCUGUGGGUUGUGGAUUACUUUCAGAGGGUCUGUGGAAAAUAACUGGGGAGACAACUCUGUUUUCAGGCUUGAGUUCUAUUAGAAAGGUUUCAGUCAGCAAUUGAGAAAUGUUAAAAUAAGAGGUUUGUGAAUUGGUUGUUUUUCUUUUCAGAAACGUCUCUCUGUGCUUGUGAAUAAGUCCCAGUGACCCUAGUGAUGAGUCUGGAACUAUCAAAAAAUACUUCUGAAAAGCACUCUCCUUGCCUUCCAUCCUAAUUUCUCUUGUACUGCUGCACACAGUCAAGAAAUGAUCAAGAAAGAGCACAGAAGCUGAACCCCAUAAAUAAUGCAGCUGAUAUCAGGAAGAAGCUGGAGUUGUAGAAGACGUAGUGGAAAUCACUGGUUAUGUCUACCAGGAGACCUGAAAUAGAAGUCAUAGCUUAGCCAAAGAGAAGAGGCACACUAAAGUCAUACAUUUACAUGAAUGUCAAACUUGAAUCAUUCAGCAAACUGCCAUAUA